UACGUAGGGUGCGAGCGUUGUCCGGAAUUAUUGGGCGUAAAGAGCUCGUAGGCGGCUCGUCGCGUCGACUGUGAAAACUCGGGGCUUAACCCCGGGCUUGCAGUCGAUACGGGCGGGCUAGAGUUCGGUAGGGGAGACUGGAAUUCCUGGUGUAGCGGUGAAAUGCGCAGAUAUCAGGAGGAACACCGGUGGCGAAGGCGGGUCUCUGGGCAACUACUGACGCUGAGGAGCGAAAGCGUGGGGAGCGAACAGG
rnacentral:rRNA from 1 species